AUCUUUUUGAAGAAAAAGAGCCACACUGGUUUACAGAGACCUGACUAGAGGCGUGAUAGUGUGUACACCCCUGCCAUCAACAUGGAUCGGGAGUACUGGGAGAACAGAGCCGGUUCCCUCUGCAGCAGAAGUUGUGCCCAGCUGCAGUGAUGCACCUCCUCCACCAGCAUAAAUAAAAAGGAAGGCAGCGGAUGUUGAAGCCUGGAAGGGGUUGAGGGAGCUACUCCACAUGCCUGCAGUGGAGCUGGAAUGGCUUCCACCCAACACCAUAUGCAGUGUGUGUAGAGUUUUCGGUCACAAGUCAGGGCAGUUCAUCCCAUGUGUUCCGGUGGGCCUACGAUGGGAGUGGAGGAGACAAGAUGACCAUGACUGUCACAGCCAGUACAACAAUCUUCUGGCUGUUGUUGACGUUAGAGGAAGAGCUCAUGACGUCUGGCUGCAGUUUUGCAGCUGUGAGCUGGAACCUGUCACCCUGAUCCGCCACAGACUCUGGCCUGCCACCAUCUGCCGCUGUAUCUCAUAAUCAGUUAGAUUCACUAGCCCUCGUCUGUGUGACGUGUGAUUGUGUGUGUAUAACCAACAACUGGGCUAAUGUUGGAGAAGUUAAAAGGGGUACCCGGGAUGUGAAGCCGGGGAUGCGCUGCGAUCCAAACCCAGAAACUGGACAUAACUGGUGUGUUUGGGAUGACGUGCAGGCACGAGCAUCCGCUGAAGUUCCUGAACCUGAAGAGAGGAGCAAAGCUUGCAAAUGCUGUGUUCCUGCUGGGGUACCUGAAAGCAAUACAGGGACCAAACAUCACAACGUUUCUUCGCUAUGACAUUGCAUGCCAGCUGAAGCCUCAUUUACAGGCAGCACACAGUCGGACGUGGACGUUUGAACCCGUCAGAUAAAGCAGACCCUCACAGACAAGAGGACGUUGUUCCUUACCUGGCAGGAGAGAUACAUGGAAAUUCUCGCAGAGCAACAGCAAGUCGCGUCUGACAUGAUGUCCUCGUCAAUCACCGAUGAUAGGAACGCUCAGUUGACUACUCAGCUUGAAAGCCUGGAGAAAAGGUUGAUGACCAUGGAGAAGAGAAACCAGAUUGUACUGCAGACUAAGAAGACUCGCUGUCUGCUGGCCACAAUCCAUAGGCUGGUCCUGGAGCGUUCGCCGUCCCCGGAGUACUAGCUGCCACCGUUGAAUGUUUCUAUGUGUGAUUGCUUUUGUCUGUC